CCAAUAGCGUAUAUUAAAGUUGCUGCAGUUAAAAAGCUCGUAGUUGAAUUUCGGGACCGAUAUAUCGGUCGUGCCUCGGUACGUACUGGUAUUUUCGGUUUCUCCCUUCUGACGAACCUUGAUGUCAUUAAUUUGGUGUCUUGGGAAAUCAGGACUGUUACUUUGAAAAAAUUAGAGUGUUUAAAGCAGGCUCACGCUUGAAUACAUUAGCAUGGAAUAAUGAAAUAGGACGUUUGAUUCUAUUUUGUUGGUUUCUAGGAUCGACGUAAUGAUUAAUAGGGAUAGUUGGGGGCAUUAGUAUUCAAUUGUCAGAGGUGAAAUUCUUGGAUUUAUUGAAGACUAACUACUGCGAAAGCAUUUGCCAAGGAUGUUUUCAUUAAUCAAGAACGAAAGUUAGGGGAUCGAAGACGAUCAGAUACCGUCGUAGUCUUAACCAUAAACUAUGCCGACUAGGGAUCGGAUGAUGUUAAUUUUUUAAUGACUCAUUCGGCGCCUUACG
rnacentral:rRNA from 1 species